rnacentral:rRNA from 1 species
UACGUAGGGUGCGAGCGUUAAUCGGAAUUACUGGGCGUAAAGUGUGCGCAGGCGGCCGAGCAAGUCGAGUGUGAAAGCCCCGGGCUUAACUUGGGAAUUGCGCUCGAAACUACUUGGCUGGAGUGUGGCAGAGGAAGGUGGAAUUCCAGGUGUAGCGGUGAAAUGCGUAGAGAUCUGGAGGAACACCGAUGGCGAAGACGGCGUCCUGGACCAAUACUGACACUGAGGAGCGAAAGCCAGGGGAGCAAACGGG